GUCCCAGGUGUGCCCAGGUGUGUCCCAGCUGUGUCUCACCUGUCCCAGGUGUGCCCAGGUGUGUCCCAGCUGUGUCUCACCUGUCUCAGGUGUGUCUCACCUGUCCCAGCUGUGCCCAGGUGUGUCCCAGCUGUGUCUCACCUGUCCCAGCUGUGUCUCACCUGUCCCAGGUGUGUCUCACCUAUCUCAGCUGUGUCCCAGCUGUGUCUCACCUAUCUCAGGUGUGUUUCCAGGUGUGUCUCACCUGUCCCAGGUGUGUCUCACCUGUCUCAGCUGUGUCCCAGGUGUGUCUCACCUGUCCCAGCUGUGUCUCACCUAUCUCAGGUGUGUUUCCAGGUGUGUCUCACCUGUCCCAGGUGUGUCUCACCUGUCUCAGCUGUGUCCCAGGUGUGUCUCACCUGUCCCAGGUGUGUCUCACCUGUCCCAGGUGUGUCUCCAGGUGUGUCUCACCUGUCUCAGCUGUGUCCCAGGUGUGUCUCACCUGUCCAGGUGUGUCUCACCUUGAUGAAGGCGUAGCCAGUGCUGUUGUCGGUGAUGGUCAGCCCCAGCUGUGCCCAGCUGUGUCUCCAGGUGUGUCUCACCUAUCUCAGGUGCGUCUCACCUGUCCAGGUGUGUCUCACCUGUCUCAGGUGUGUCCCAGGUGUGUCUCACCUGUCUCAGGUGUGUCUCCAGGUGUGUGUUACCUGUCCCAGGUGUGUCUCACCUGUCUCAGGUGUGUCCCAGGUGUGUCUCACCUGUCUCAGGUGUGUCUCCAGGUGUGUCUCACCUGUCCCAGCUGUGCCCAGGUGUGUCUCACCUGUCUCAGGUGUGUCUCACCUAUCUCAGGUGUGUCUCACCUGUCUCAGGUGUGUCUCCAGGUGUGUCUCACCUUGAUGAAGGCGUAGUCGGCGCCGUUGUCGGUGAUGGUCAGCCCCAGCUGUGCCCAGGUGUGUCUCACCUGUCCCAGGUGUGUCUCCAGGUGUGUCUCACCUGUCCCAGCUGUGUCUCACCUAUCUCAGGUGUGUCUCACCUAUCUCAGGUGUGUCUCCAGGUGUGUCUCACCUGUCCCAGCUGUGUCUCACCUAUCUCAGGUGUGUCUCCAGGUGUGUCUCACCUGUCCCAGCUGUGUCCCAGGUGUGUCUCACCUAUCUCAGGUGUGUCUCACCUGUCUCAGCUGUGUCCCAGGUGUGUCUCACCUAUCUCAGGUGUGUCUCACCUGUCCCAGGUGUGUCUCCAGGUGUGUCUCACCUGUCCCAGGUGUGUCUCACCUGUCUCAGGUGUGUCUCCAGGUGUGUCUCACCUGUCCCAGCUGUGUCUCACCUAUCUCAGGUGU
rnacentral:lncRNA from 1 species